rnacentral:rRNA from 1 species
GUCACUUUCGCUUCUUCCCUGCUGAAAGAGGUUUACAACCCGAAGGCCGUCAUCCCUCACGCGGCGUCGCUGCAUCAGGCUUUCGCCCAUUGUGCAAUAUUCCCCACUGCUGCCUCCCGUAGGAGUCUGGGCCGUGUCUCAGUCCCAGUGUGGCCGGUCGCCCUCUCAGGCCGGCUACCCGUCGUCGCCUUGGUGAGCCACUACCUCACCAACAAGCUGAUAGGCCGCGGGCUCAUCCUGCACCGCCGGAGCUUUACACCAUCCACCAUGCGGCAGACGGUCAUAUCCGGUAUUAGACCCCGUUUCCAGGGCUUGUCCCAGAGUGCAGGGCAGAUUGCCCACGUGUUACUCACCCGUUCGCCACUAAUCCCCGCCCGAAAGCGGUUCAUCGUUCGACUUGCAUGUGUUAAGCACGCCGCCAGCGUUCGUCCUGAGCCAGGAUCAAACU